CGGUUGAUUCUGUAAAGAUUAGUGGCAAACGGGUGAGUAAUACAUAAGUAACCUGCCCUUAAGCUUGGGACAACCUUUCGAAAGGAAGGCUAAUACCGAAUAAUCUUUUUUUUCCGCAUGGUUAAAAAAGCAAAGAUUUAUCGCUUAAGGAGGGGCUUAUGCCUGAUUAGCUUGUUGGUGGGGUAAUGGCCUACCAAGGCAACGAUCAGUAGCUGGUCUGAGAGGACGAUCAGCCACACUGGGACUGAGAUACGGCCCAGACUCC
rnacentral:rRNA from 1 species